rnacentral:rRNA from 1 species
GACGAACGCUGGCGGCGUGCUUAACACAUGCAAGUCGUACGAUGACCCGGCUCUUCGGAGCUGGUGAUUAGUGGCGAACGGGUGAGUAACACGUGGGUGACCUGCCCUGCACUCUGGGAUAAGCCCGGGAAACUGGGUCUAAUACUGGAUACGACCAGUGGCCGCAUGGUCUGCUGGUGGAAAGCCCUUCGGGGUGGUGUGGGAUGGGCCCGCGGCCUAUCAGCUUGUUGGUGGGGUGAUGGCCUACCAAGGCGACGACGGGUAGCCGGCCUGAGAGGGUGUCCGGCCACACUGGGACUGAGACACGGCCCAGACUCCUACGGGAGGCAGCAGUGGGGAAUCUUGCACAAUGGGCGAAAGCCUGAUGCAGCGACGCCGCGGGAGGGAUGACGGCCUUCGGGUUGUAAACCUCUUUCGGCAGGGAACAAGCCUGGGGGGUUUCUUCUGGGUGAGGGUACCUGCGGAAGAAGCACCGGCUAACUACGUG